CUUCCCUAGGAGCAGCUGCAAUAAUAUUGGAACACAAGAAAAACACACCCCCUGUGUUUACUGGAGUGUGAAUUAUCACAUCCUCAACUCUUCCGCUUAGGUUUGCAUAAAAUUCUUGGCCUUAAGAGGAUGUUUCUUUUCACCGCUUCGAUAGUUUUUGUUUUGCUAUUUCCUAGACAAAACUUCAUUCAUCCUUGGCUUAAUGUGUGGUGAUUUCAAUUCAUUUUAGCAUUUCUAUUAGUGAGUACCUGGAUUUGGGAUGGGAGGCUUAGGGAAGAGAAUGAAGGGGGGAAAGGCCCUUUAUCAGAUGUUUCUUGAAGAACACCAUCACUGAAAGAAGAUAUCUGACUUAUCCAGUUAUUUUUUUCUCAUGGUGUUGGCACAGCUGUGCUAAUUCUGCACAGAUUUACUGGACUAAAAUCCUUCAAAGCUGCAGAAUUCAGCAUCUUCUCUCCCUUUUGCUGGUACUGUCUGCCACUAGAGAGCAGCAAGGGAGCGCUCUUCCUCCUGCAAAACCAGGGGAAGACUGAGGGUAAAAGCUUAGCCCAUACUCUGACUUGAGGAAAUCCCUAUAGUUUUCCGUGCUCUAUGGCGUUGCAAAGGAUUAAAUUUAUACGGACCUAUGACUGCUACAUUUUUGCAUUAGAAGUUUCCCCUGCCUACAGGAGGAAUAAAGCCUUUCGAAUCAGCUCCUGCUCCUAAACUGCACCAUGGGAGCCCUGGCAAGCAGAGUGCUGGCUGUUUUCAUGCAACUUGCUCCGUGCUGCUUCCCUUGCAGUGGCCCAUUGAUUUUCAAUAUUUGAUGAUAUUCGUGCACGCGGUGAUGGAGGAGCAGUAUCCGAGUGGCGUGUUCCCUUCGGAAGGUGAGAUGUGCGCACGUUCACGUCUGUCCUGCACCCACCCAGCAGCCCAAAAGCCACCUGCAGCGUCCCAGUCCUUCCCUUUGCCGUGCAGGGAUGCUGCUCGGAGCCCGGGCAUCCCGGCAUGGUCGAUUGGAGCAUCUUUCCGUGCUGCCUGAUUUCCAAGCCACCACGGUUCAGCCUGAAGAAGGGCUUUGAAACCCCCCAAUCCAACACUUUGCCUUCCUUCCUCCUGCUUCCCAGCCCAGUGAGUCCAGAUGGGCUGUGGGGCCCAAUCCUGCCUUGUGCAGCCUCCAUCCCUGCCUGGGAAUGUGAGGUACGGGAGCUGCCACUGGCACGGUGGAGGGAUGGUGCCACUGCUCGAAGCUUCUUCCCCGCAGCAGCAACCCGCUUGUGAACCCACACAGGGAUUUUGGCAUCCGGGACAUUUCCCAUCGCAGCUCUGGUAAGAGGGCAGUGGUGAUGCAUCCUGCAGGAUGCACAUCCCGUCUCCACCCGCCACGGCUGCAGAGAUUGCAACCAAAGGUGAUGCCAAACCAUCCAGCCCACUGCUGGAAAGAAGAUAAUCAAAGCAGCAGGCAUUUCUACCUGCCAUGUGUUCUCUAUUUCGCGUGGCGAUGCUCUCAGUGCAAAGCAUCCGGCGGGAUGAUCUCACAGGCAGAGCUCGCCCUAUUUUGGUAGCCUUCGCUCCACCUACGGAUUCGCUGAGCGUGUGUGAUCUUCCGAGAUGGGAUGACAUGAGCCCCAAAGUAUGAUAACAACUCCUGAGCUGUCGCUGCUGCUGCCCGGCUGCAAACAGCCCCCCAACCCGCUGUGAUUGCCCCAUCCUGACCCCUUCUGCUGGAAAGGGAAAGGAAGGAAGAAAAGAUUAGAUGGCGUCAACACAAUUGGCAAAGACACCCAAACAUCUGCAGGGGGGCAAAAAUGGGGCAGGAGGAGCUGAGUCUGAUGCUCAUCAGCCAGCACCGAGGAUCCAAAUCCUACUGAAGUCAAGGGGUUGGGAUUUCUCCUUUCACUGCCUGGGUCCCCCUAAAAGCCUGGGAGCAACGCUGCUGGUGUCUCCAGAUGGAAUAGAAACUGGACGUGUCAAAAUAAACCCCAUCGUGAUUCUAGUGAUGACCCUGCUCUGGCACGGCCUUGAGAAACCAUCAGGCAUCAAAGAAGGGCACAGCAGAGAUGCAGCCAGGCACCGGAGCUGCUCUAUAAAGCAACAGCUUUGUCCCCAGAGCUGUGCCACGUUGAUCAUGGGGGUAUUUUUGAUUCAAGACUCUACACCCAAACCUUUUCGGCCACACUGGUGGUGCCUGGUCACCCUGCAGCAGCAGGUGGUGCCAGCAGAGCUCCCGAGCACACAGCCAGACACCAGAAAGGAUGGUGAGUGGAAGGGGCACCCGUCCCUACACCUUUCUGGGGCACCUCAUGAGCCCAGCACCAAACUGCUGCCCCGGUGCUCGUUAUGGUUUUGCCCCACGGAGGCUGCUGGGGCCGCUAACGGGGGGGGCUGAGGCAGUGCCAGCACCCCAGGGUGCUGCUCUGAACCCCAGUGAUGGAGGCGAGCAGGAGGGGACACCGCUCUGCCUUGGUCCCGCUCUGGCCACCAGGCUUUGGGGUUGAGGCCAGCAGAGCUGGUGUCGCCGGGAGCCACACACGCAUCCUGCGAGGGGAAGAGCACCGCUCCUAACAUCUGCUUGGAGUUUGUUUGUCUUUCAUUCCCAUUCCUCCCCCCGUCCUCUUUCAUCCUUCCAUCUGCACAGGCCUAAAAAUAGGGCUGUACUGGCUCGGUCUCCUCCUCAGCCCUUUGCAGCCUCAGGGCGAUCCCGUUCGUGACACGACGAGGAGGGGACAGGACACACUGGUGUCCCUCCGGUGUCACGUUCCUGCCGCAGAGUGGUUGUGCCACUCCAGGGUCCCCAUGAGCCAUUCUGGAGGUCCUUAAGGGCUGCUCUAAGGAGUCCCAAAGGGCCACUCGGGAGGUCCCCAUGGACUAUUCUGGAGGUCCUUAAGGGCUGUUCCAGGGUCCCCAUGAGCCAUUCUGGAGGUCCUUAAGGGCUAUUCCAGGGUCCCCAUGGGCCAUCCUGGGGGUCCUUAAGGGCUGUUCCAGGGUCCACAUGGACUGUUCUGGGGAUCCCAAAGGGCCACUCGGGAGGUCCCCAUGGGCCGUUCUGGGGGUCCCCAUGGGCGAUGGGAGCCCCCGUGCCUCCCGCUCCGUGGACGCGCUCAGCCGCUGAGCCUCUCCCAGGCACGACGCAGGGCAAGCAUCACUUUGGCACUUCCCAGUGUC